GCUGGGGUAGACAGCUCUCAACUCCAAGCACUGAAUGAUGACAAUUCUACUGAAGCCGUGUGCAACUUCACCAUCACUGCACAUGCCUGUGCCCCGACAACAAGACUCUCAGCAGAAAAGUUGGCCACGCUCUUGAAGUGCUCUCUGGAAAGCAACCAGAUGUACGUGGUGGAAGUUUGGCAGCUUCUUUUCCAAAAAGCUUCUCCAGUACUCAGGCAGGCUCUGGCCUCAUUCUCCGCCAUGGCCCCCACCGCCAUGAGCUCAGCCUAUUCCAAUCCUCUUGAUGCUCUGAGAGAAGUGCUUGCUGAAAACCUUACACAGGAUCAACUGAAGAGUGAAGUAUUUGUUAGAAGUUGGUUCCAGAUGGAUCUCGGUCCAUUCCU